rnacentral:rRNA from 1 species
AGUGAACGCUGGCGGCAGGCCUAACACAUGCAAGUCGAGCGGCAGCGCGGGGGCAACCCUGGCGGCGAGCGGCGGACGGGUGAGGAAUUCGUCGGAAUCUGCCUUUUUGUGGGGGAUAACGUAGGGAAACUUACGCUAAUACCGCAUACGUCCUACGGGGGAAAGUGGGGGACCGCAAGGCCUCACGCAGAAAGAUGAGCCGACGACCGAUUAGCUAGUUGGUGGGGUAAAGGCCCACCAAGGCGACGAUCGGUAGCUGGUCUGAGAGGAUGAUCAGCCACACUGGGACUGAGACACGGCCCAGACUCCUACGGGAGGCAGCAGUGGGGAAUAUUGGACAAUGGGCGCAAGCCUGAUCCAGCCAUGCCGCGUGUGUGAAGAAGGCCUUCGGGUUGUAAAGCACUUUUGUCCGGAAAGAAAUCCCUGGAGCUAAUACCUUCGGGGGAUGACGGUACCGGAAGAAUAAGCACCGGCUAACUUCGU